AAGUCGUAACAAGGUUUCCGUAGGUGAAUCUGCGGAAGGAUCAUUAUUUUAAAAAUAUUUUAAAGUUUUGUGAAUUAAAGAGGGGAGGAGGGGGAGAGUGAUAUUUAUUAUUACUAAAAACCCACUCACUCUUUUAUGAAAAUUAUAAUAGUCUUAUUUAAAUCAUAUUUUUAAACAACUUUUAACAAUGGAUCUCUUGGCUCUU
rnacentral:misc_RNA from 1 species